CGCCCAGAACGGUUGGAAGAGCCUUCAGUUCCAGAUGCUACUGAGAGAAUGAAGGUUACUUGUAGUUUGGUUCUGGGUAAUAGGAGCAGCCGGGCUCGGAAAUUGUUUUCAAUUCAAACAUUUAUUAAGCACCUCCAGUAUGCAGAGACCUAGGAGAUGGGAAGGGGCUGCCAUGACCAGUGAGAACAGCGGGCAAGGGGCCCUCGAGGACCCAGUGAGAUAUGGUGCAGGCCCCAGUCGUGCGAUCAGUACAGAUGUGUCCAGUGGGUGGAAGCAAAGGGGCUGGGGGAAGGUCUGCAGGGCCAGGAACGGGACCAGAAGGACUUGGAUGGGGGCUGGUGGUGGCCCCUGGCACGGGAGGCAGAUGCCGUGUCCCCAGGGGGGGGAGAGCUGGGCCCACCUUGGGGGCAGGAACGACUUCUGCCACGGUGUGCCAUUAAUCCUGUGGGAGGUUGGGUCCAGGUGGGCUUUCGGCAGGUAGUGAGGCAGCUGAGAAGGGGAGGGGCCAGAUGGGGGAUGAGAAUAAAGGCAGAGCAUGGACUUAAGGCAGGGGCCUUGGGGGUCAUGAGUCUCGUCCCCCAUUUACAGUUAAGGCUGAGGCCCAGGGGGAGGAGUCUGGGACUCCUGUGCCCUGCUGCUUGUGGCACUUUGGAGGGCAUCUGGUCAGCUGCCUUGUUGCUAGACACAGGAAGCGAAUGUGGGCGCCUCUUGGGGGGCCUACGAAUGUGGGCGUAUCUCUUGGGGGAUACGUAAGAGCCGGAGGCAUGUCCUGGGUGACGUGAGGGUGGCUGCCCAGGGGCACUGAGGGGACGGCUCCCUCCGGGCCAGUAUCCGGCCAGCACAUCUCCCAGAAUGCCUCGGGUACAACUGCUGGGGCCUUGGAUAACUGAGCGUUUCAAUGGCCUCAGAACCCAGAGUGGGGCUUUGGCUGGAUGCUGGGGGAGGGGGGGAAGUCUGCCCCCAAAGGCUGGGAGGUCGGAGGGUGGGUGGGGCAAGCUGAUGCUGAAAGGAGAGGCUUGGGGCCAAGUCCAGGCUUGGGGACCCAACCUCGUCCUACAGAUGGGGAAGAUGGGGCCCAGAGAGGAAAGUGGCUGUCACAUCCUCGGGUAACCCCCAAACAAGCCUAAGCUGAAUGACCAAGUCAUGGGCGCCAAGCUGGGCCCCUCCAGGGUGGAUGGAGGAGUGGGGGUGGACAGCCUCGGAGCCAAGGACCCUGAACCUCUGGCUCCCGGGGCCUCUGCAGCGUCUUUAAACAGCUUGCACAACUCGCCAUCGCCCCGCCCAGAGCCACUCAUUGGUAAAGUCCAAGCCUGGUCUGGCCGGGGACCUGAGGGGCCCCCAAAAGGGACAAGGCAGCUCCCAUGGGGGACAGAAGAACACCCCAAAGAGGGAAAAGGGUCUUCUCCAGAUCACACUGCGAGAGACCCCAGAGACGAGGCUCCCUCUCCUCUCAGGAUCCUGGAGCUGGCAGGGACCUAAGGGGGGGCCAGCCCACCCCUCAUUCACAGAUGAGCAAACUGAGGCCCCAGAUAGUCAAGCACUUGCCCAAGGUCUCACUUGUUUUGUCAGAGAUGAGAUUGGAGUAGGGGCCUCUGCUCCAGAGCUAGUGCUUCCGGGCCCCAAAUCCCACUCCCCAAGCCCCACCCCAGGCCUCCUGGGCGUUCUGACCAGUCAGGGCUCCCCCUGCCACGUCCGAGGGCUCGGGGUCCACGGGUUUCACAUCCACCUCGCCUGUCCUCGAUGCCAGCCGGGAGUCGGUGGGGUUUCAGCACCCCCAUCCAUCUCCUUCCACCUCGUUCCCAGCAUUGAACACUUGCCAAACAUCAGAGGGACUGUAAGGGGCCAUCCAGACCAGCCCCCCAAAAGGACCAGGCUGGGCACAGCCCGGGAAAGAAAGGACUUCCUGCCCCCACAAACGUUCAUCAGCCGUGGCCUCUAGGGGCUGUGAGACAUUCUGGGCCGCAUACAAGGGCAGGGGUCCCGGGAGGUUCCUCCUGGCUCUUGGGGGUCUGGACCCAUCAUAGCCCCUCCCCAGGGCAGCGUCUUAAACACUGUGAUCAUCAGAGCUUCUCUCCCACGGUGGGAUGGCAGGCUACGGGCAUUGUACAGAUGAGCAAGUGGGCUCGGGGCUUAAAUGGGCCCACGACUGGGACUCCUCAGAGGGAGGGUUUGGAUCCAGCCUUUGUGACACCGUGUCCAGGACGGAAAAGGCUGGACAUCCCUGUGCUGAGGACCCUCCCAGCUCUGAUACCCUGGGUUCUAAGGGCCCUCCCAGCCCCAACAUCCCCUGUUCUAAGCUUCUUCCCAGCCCUGACACCCACUGUUCUAAGGGCCCUCCCAGCUCUGAUACCUUGGGUUCUAAGGGCCCUCCCAGCCCUGAUAUUCUCUGUUCUAAGGCUCCUUCCCAGCCCUGCCGGUCCCUGUUCUAAGGGUCCUUCCCAGCCCUGACGGUCCCUGUUCUAAGGGUCCUUCCCAGCCCUGAUGAUCCCUGUUGCAAGGGCCCUUUAUACUCCAUCGUAUGCUGUCUUAGAACACUCCACCUGACACUACUGUUCUGUGACUUUGGAACCUUACAUUUAUCUAGUCCAACUGGGCAAAGGAACAGACCCAAAGUAACGUGACCUGCCCAAGAUCACAUCGGGCAUGAAGUGGCCCCAGAAGAACCAAGGGCUUGCUAGUUCUUGGGCCACAAG
rnacentral:lncRNA from 1 species